AUUAAAAAGAAUAAAACCCUAUUUAUAGGGUUAUGAAUAACAAUAAUAGGAAAUAACUAUAAAAGGAAAAUAAUUCUACACUAAAAGGAAAAAUAUAAUAGAUAUUAUUCUCAAAAAUAUCUUUCUAACUUUAAUACCCUCCCCUCAAACUCAAUAUGGUAUAGAAUAUUGAGUUUGAAGAAAUCGAUCCAAUCAAAUCUUCCAAAUUGAUGUAGAAUGAACUCCAAGCACUUGAGAUCUUUGUCAUUGUUUAUAGAGAUAAGUGGCUUCUUGUUUGACUGGAAGAAAAUAUUUGAUGGAC
rnacentral:lncRNA from 1 species